UACGAAGGGGGCUAGCGUUGUUCGGAAUUACUGGGCGUAAAGCGCGCGCAGGCGGUCUUUCAAGUCAGUGGUGAAAGCCCGGAGCUCAACUCCGGAACUGCCAUUGAAACUGUUAGACUUGAGGAUGAGAGAGGUGAGUGGAAUUCCCAGUGUAGAGGUGAAAUUCGUAGAUAUUGGGAAGAACACCGGUGGCGAAGGCGGCUUCCUGGCCUGCAACUGACGCUGAGACGCGAAAGCGUGGGGAGCGAACCGG
rnacentral:rRNA from 1 species